UUUUCAGUGUCGCAGCGAAAGCGAUAAACACACCGCCUGGGGAGUACGACCGCAAGGUUAAAACUCAAAUGAAUUGACGGGGACCCGCACAAGUAGUGGAGCAUGUGGUUUAAUUCGAAGAUACGCGCAGAACCUUACCAACACUUGACAUGUUCGUCGCGACUCUAAGAGAUUAGAGUUUUCGGUUCGGCCGGACGAAACACAGGUGCUGCAUGGCUGUCGUCAGCUCGUGUCGUGAGAUGUUGGGUUAAGUCCCGCAACGAGCGCAACCCUCACUUUUAGUUGCCAUCAUUAAGUUGGGCACUCUGAAAGAACUGCCAGUGAUAAGCUGGAGGAAGGUGGGGAUGACGUCAAGUCCUCAUGGCCCUUACGUGUUGGGCUACACACGUGCUACAAUGGUAUCUACAACAGGAAGCAAAACAGCGAUGUUAAGCAAAUCCUUAAAAGAUACCUCAGUUCGGAUUGCACUCUGCAACUCGAGUGCAUGAAGCUGGAAUUACUAGUAAUCGUGGAUCAGCGUGCCACGGUGAAUGCGUUCCCGGGUCUUGUACACACCGCCCGUCACACCAUGGGAGUUGGUUCUACCUUAAGGCAAGGUUUAAAAUCCUUGACCACGGUAUAGUCAGCGACUGGGGUGAAGUCGUAACAAGGUAGCCGUAGGGGAACCUGCGGCUGGAUUACCUCCUU
rnacentral:rRNA from 1 species